AGCAGCCGCGGUAAUUCCAGCUCCAAUAGCGUAUAUUAAAGUUGUUGCAGUUAAAAAGCUCGUAGUUGAAUUUCGGGAUCAAAUUGUCGGUCGUGCCUCGGUACGUACUGGUAUUAUUGGUUCCUCCCUUCUGACGAACCACGAUGUCAUUAAUUUGGUGUCAUGGGAAAUCAGGACUGUUACUUUGAAAAAUUGAGUGUUUAAAGCAGGCUCGCGCUUGAAUACAUUAGCAUGGAAUAAUGAAAUAGGACGUUUGAUUCUAAUUUUGUUGGUUUCUAGGAUCGACGUAAUGAUUAAUAGGGAUAGUUGGGGC
rnacentral:rRNA from 1 species